UACGUAGGAGGCAAGCGUUGUCCGGAAUUACUGGGCGUAAAGCGCGUGUAGGUGGUGGGACAAGUCUGCUGUGAAAGCGCCUGGCUUAACCGGGCGAGGUCGGCGGAAACUGUCCGACUCGAGGACGGUAGAGGGGGGUGGAAUUCCCGGUGUAGUGGUGAAAUGCGCAGAUAUCGGGAAGAACACCCGUGGCGAAGGCGGCUCUCUGGAACGCAACUGACGCUGAGACGCGAAAGCGUGGGGAGCAAACAGG
rnacentral:rRNA from 1 species